rnacentral:misc_RNA from 1 species
ACGACAUUGUAUCCCAUAAGGUAAUAACCAGUUAGGUGUGCUAUCUAACCCGCAUGCAUAUAUUUUUGUAUGAUUUAAAUAACUCAUCUCCUGCAUAUUAUGAAACAUAUAUAUAUGGAUUUUUUUUGUUGUAUUUACGGUUCCUUAAUUUUUAUGAUUUAAUUUUUAUUUGUGUAUGUAUGUAGUUUGAGCAAAAGAGAGGGCACGUUGCCUCCAGCAUCGAGUGCUACAUGAAACAACAUGGUGCUACAGAAGAAGAAGCUGUCCAAGAAUUUCAGAAACAAAUUGUGAGUGCAUGGAAGGAUAUUAACGAAGAGUGCCUGUACCCGACUUCCGUUCCUAUACCUGUCCUAACAAGAAUUCUCAAUUUUUCACGAGUAAUAGAUGUUGUGUACAAGGAUGAAGAUGGUUACACACAUGCUGAAGAUGUGUUAAAAGAUUAUGUGUCUACUCUACUCAUUAAUCCCGUAAUAACAUAAGCUUGGGAUUAUUAGGACUUUUUAGUUUUCUU